rnacentral:tRNA from 1 species
AAAAAGAUAAGCUAAAUAAGCUAAUAGGUUCAUACCCUAUACAUAGAAGUAAAACCUUCUUCUUUUUA